rnacentral:rRNA from 1 species
AUUGAACGCUGGCGGAAGGCCUAACACAUGCAAGUCGAACGAGUGGCGGACGGGUGAGUAAUGUCUGGGAAACUGACUGAUGGAGGGGGCUAACUACUGGUAACGGUAGCUAAUACCGCAUACCUACAGAUGUGCCUAGAUGGGAUUAGCUUGUUGGUUGGGUAACGGCUCACCAAGGCGACGAUCCCUAGCCGGUCUGAGAGGAUGACCAGCCACACUGGAACUGAGACUCGGUCCAGUCUCCUACGGGAGGCAGCAGUGGGGAAUAUUGCACAAUGGGCGCAAGCCUGAUGCAGCCAUGCCGCGUGUGUGAAGAAGGCCUUCGAGUUGUAAAGUACUUUCAGCGGGGAGGCGUUACCCUCAGAAGAAGCACCGGCUAACUCCGAUCCAGCAGCCGCGGUAAUAC